AACAUCGUUACAGUGCCUACAAGUGUUUGGCGCCGAAUGCAAACUUGGCUCGCGCUAGGCAAAUUAGAACAAGUGGAUAUUACCACGCCCGAGAUAUAUCGAAACUAACACCAAUGAUGAAGCCGGAAGGCGAUGAUGCGAUUUUUGGCAGCGAGCCAAAAAAAGUCUCAUCGACGCCACUUUCAUUGCAACAACGUCGACGUAAAACGAUCUUUCUAAAUGCCAUCGGCCUUGUCCUUGACAUCGACCGCAGCGUCCCGACGCUACGCAGCCACGAUUGCAUCAGAAUGUUCGAUGCACGGAAUACACCCAGGAAGGGUGCCGUUAGCAGUGGAAGUAUAGAGAAGGGGAAAUGUAAUACCAUGUUGAUCAUAGUGGGAGGCUUUACGCAGCUGGACAGGUGAGUAGUGAAAUUUAUCUAUAUCAUUUAGCCUCGCGCUGCAUCACUUUAUGAAUCAUAUCAAGCAUCAUUUUACCUUCAUCUCAGAAAAAACGUCUGCAUUUAUAUUAUCUUCUUUUUCUUUUAUUCUUUUGGAAAGAAUUCUUAAUGUAUUUCCUAAAUAUUGAUAAAUUUAUUUAUAAAAUUUUUUCGCAUUUUACGAACCUUAAUUAUUUACUUAACUUUGCAGGUGUGUCAAUAAAUGUAAAUAUACAAUAUAUGUACAAAAAUGGUUGUGUAAACUAUAUACACAAUAUGUAUUUAUGUACAAAAUGCAUUAUUUACACUGUUACAAAAAUAUUGCAAAGUAAUAUCUGUUUUUCGGUGUUUUGUCAUACUGUUGUUAAAAGUUUAGGAUUAUAAAGAAGUAGAGAUUACAAAUUUAUACAAUCAUUUUGUAUUCUACAUAAAAUAAAUUAUUUUGUCUUUUUUC